rnacentral:lncRNA from 1 species
UGCCAUGCUCCCCGCCUUGAUAAUGGACUGAACCUCUGAACCUGUGUGUGCGAGGCCUCAGGGCAUUUGUGUCUACCUGAAGGUCCUGUUCAGAAGCCACUCCAGGCCUCCCUUGGCCAGGCUGUCUCAGCACUGUCUCCUGCUGCCUAGGCCUCCCCAGCAUCCAGCAGCUGUGGAUUGCUCACGUUUGGCUCACUGCUUGCUCCUCCCGCUAGAGAGCAGCCCGUGACCUCGGAGGUCUGAUUUGUUCAUUCCGGCAUGUUCCAGUCAAGAGUGAAUUAUGAAGGGUCAAAGGGUGAAGCGUAGUCGCAAUCUUUCCAAAGCCUUCUUAGCCACCCUGGCUCCCUGGCUGCCUCUACACUUGGCCUCCAUCUUUGCUGAGGGGACACAGCCAUGCCCAGAAUUCCGGUUGGUUUUGAAGGAAGAAGAGUGAUUUGUUCCCAGGAUGGCCUAUCUGCUAUUCCUAGUGGCCUUGUCUGACACACUUUCAGCUUCUUCUUGAAAAAUAUUUAUUAUUAUUAUUAAAUGUAUGUUAAAAACUUA